rnacentral:rRNA from 1 species
GACGAACGCUGGCGGCGUGCUUAAUACAUGCAAGUCGAACGGACAGACAGAGAGCUUGCUCUCUUGAAGUUAGUGGCGAACGGGUGAGUAACGCGUAAUCAACCUGCCCUUCAGAGGGGGAUAACAACGGGAAACCGUUGCUAAUACCGCGUACGCUUCAUGAACGGCAUCGUUUAUGAAUGAAAGGUGGCCUCUAUGUAUAAGCUAUCGCUGAAGGAGGGGAUUGCGUCUGAUUAGCUAGUUGGAGGGGUAACGGCCCACCAAGGCAAUGAUCAGUAGCCGGUCUGAGAGGAUGAACGGCCACAUUGGGACUGAGACACGGCCCAAACUCCGACGGGAGGCAGCAGUGGGGAAUCUUCCGCAAUGGACGAAAGUCUGACGGAGCAACGCCGCGUGAGUGAUGAAGGUCUUCGGAUUGUAAAGCUCUGUUAAUCGGGACGAAAGAGUUCUGCGUGAAUAAUGCAGAAAAGUGACGGUACCGGAAUAGAAAGCCACGGCUAACUACGUGCCAGCAGCCGCAGUAA